rnacentral:rRNA from 1 species
GUGGGGAAUAUUGGACAAUGGGGGGAACCCUGAUCCAGCCAUGCCGCGUGUGUGAAGAAGGCCUUUUGGUUGUAAAGCACUUUAAGCGAGGAGGAGGCUACCGAGAUUAAUACUCUUGGAUAGUGGACGUUACUCGCAGAAUAAGCACCGGCUAACUCUGUGCCAGCAGCCGCGGUAAUACAGAGGGUGCAAGCGUUAAUCGGAUUUACUGGACGUAAAGCGCGCGUAGGUGGCCAAUUAAGUCAAAUGUGAAAUCCCCGAGCUUAACUUGGGAAUUGCAUUCGAUACUGGUUGGCUAGAGUAUGGGAGAGGAUGGUAGAAUUCCAGGUGUAGCGGUGAAAUGCGUAGAGAUCUGGAGGAAUACCGAUGGCGAAGGCAGCCAUCUGGCCUAAUACUGACACUGAGGUGCGAAAGCAUGGGGAGCAAACAGGAUUAGAAACCCUUGUAGUCC